GAUAAAUGCAACUGUGUUCAUCUGAUCCGCUUGAUGUAAAUAUCUAAUGUAUGUCAAUUUACAAAGCUUAUUUUGUCCAACAAGUUACUUCUGGAGUCUUAAGUGUAAGGGUCAACCUGCAAAUCACACACAACACACCAGUACAGCAAUAUGGAAGAAGGUAAACUGUGAGUCUAUAUUGCUGUCAAGGAAUUCGAGAGCCUUGUUCUCUCCCAAAAGGUUACAAAACUAUACCAAAAUUCUCCACACUUGUAAAUGUAAAUGACAUCCCACUCUUCUAUUUA